rnacentral:snoRNA from 1 species
ACCCCCUGGCAAUGGGCAAGGAGACACCUGAUUGGUGGUGUUGCUCUUAUAGCAAUCAGGGGCAAAGCAGAUGUACAGUCCUUUGUUCAUCCUAGCUUCAUGCCUGUGUCGGCCAGAGCUGUUUCAUGCCUGAGGCAUGUAA